AUCAACCAAGGCCUUGGCAUUCAAAACUAUAACAAACAAGGCCACAGGAAAGGCAUCCAGUUAAGAUGGUGACUCAGGUUUCAGUUCAGAGGAGGAAGAAGAGAAAAAACCUUCACAAAAGGCACACCCCAAACCUGGUAUCACUGGUAAGUCAACUCCCAAGCCAGAUGUGACUAUAAAGACUGCUGAGAAUUCUUCAGACAUUAAAACAACUGAAGCUUGUCCAGGCCAGUCACUGGCACUAAGAAACCCUCAGCUAAGCCAGCCAUUAGGCAAAAAAAAAGCCUUUGCCCAGAAUAUCUGAUAACUAUUCUAGUGAAGUAAGAAGCAAUUCUAGUGAGGAAGAUAGGAAGCCAGGGACAAAGGCUGCCCCUAUCCUUAAACCCAAAGUGAGGCAAGAAAAUUGCAUCUAUAGUGGCUAAAGCAGACACAUAGGACAGUAGUUAGGUUCAGAGAGUUCCAGUAGUGAAGAGGAUGAACUAUCAAGCUAUGUGAAUAAAUCUAAGAUGGAGACUUCCUAAACCCACUUUGCCAAGGGAAAAAAAAAAUCAAUGUCCAAUGAAGAAGAGGAAAAAUCAAAAUUAAAAAAAAAAGCCCUACCUGGUGGCCAAUGAGUGUUGCCCUCCAGCAUCCCAGAAUUAGAAGCCAUGUGCCACCAAGAUGGGAAAAAGAAGAGGAGAAAGAAGAGGAUGAGAUCUUUCCUUCCUUCCCUCUCUCCCUCCCUUCCUUCUUUCUUUCCUUCCUUCCUUCUUUCCUUCCUUCCUUCCAUAUUUCCUUCCUUACUUCUUUUCUUCCUUCCGUAUUUCCUUCCUUCCUUCCUUCCUUCCAUUCUUCCUUCCUUCUUUCCUUCUGUAUUUCCUUUCUUCCAUAUUUUCUUCCUUCCUUCCUUCCUUCCUUCCUUCCUUCCUUCCUUCCUUCCUUCCUUCCUUCCUUCCUUCCUUUUUCUUUCUUUCUUUCUUUCUUUCUUUCUUUCUUCUUCUUCAUCUUCUCUCUCUCUUUCUCUCUCUCUCUCCCCUUCAUAUAUGUAUGAAAUUUUUUUUCUCUUUCCCAAAUGUGGGUAACGGAGGCUCCUGCUACAGUAUAAGUCAAGGUACUAAAUAUGUUAGACAGGGUAGGCUUUAUUUUUAUGUCACAGAAAAUUCAGAAAAUUCAGAAGACUUACAGGAAUUCAUAAAUAGAUUCAGAAAAGAGCUA
rnacentral:lncRNA from 1 species